rnacentral:rRNA from 1 species
UGCAGGCUGCAACCCGCCUGCAUGAAGUCGGAAUUGCUAGUAAUCGCGGAUCAGCAUGCCGCGGUGAAUACGUUCCCGGGCCUUGUACACACCGCCCGUCACACCAUGGGAGCCGGUAAUACCCGAAGUCAGUAGUCCAACCUCGUGAGGACGCUGCCGAAGGUAGGAUUGGCGACUGGGGUGAAGUCGUAACAAGGUACC